GAGAUAUAUACAAUUGAACUAUGAGGACAAAAAAUAUAUAUAUAUAUAUAUAUCUUAUUAUAUAAAGUAUGGUUUUCAAAAUUGACUUGGCACAGUGUCAAGUCAAACGAUUAGAUGUUUACAUGUGUCAUUCAAAAUUUAACUUUUUUAUUCUUU
rnacentral:sRNA from 1 species